UGGGGAAUAUUGCACAAUGGGGGGAAACCCUGAUGCAGCGAUGCCGCGUGGAGGAAGAAGGUUUUUCGGAUUGUAAACUCCUGUUGAAGAGGACGAUAAUGACGGUACUCUUUUAGAAAGCUCCGGCUAACUACGUGCCAGCAGCCGCGGUAAUACGUAGGGAGCGAGCGUUGUCCGGAAUUACUGGGUGUAAAGGGAGCGUAGGCGGGAUGGCAAGUCAGAUGUGAAAACUAUGGGCUCAACCCAUAGACUGCAUUUGAAACUGUUGUUCUUGAGCGAGGUAGAGGUAAGCGGAAUUCCUGGUGUAGCGGUGAAAUGCGUAGAGAUCAGGAGGAACA
rnacentral:rRNA from 1 species